AUUGAACGCUAACGGCAUGCUUAACACAUGCAAGUCGAACGGCAGCACAGCAGUAGCAAUACUGUGGGUGGCGAGUGGCGGACGGGUGAGUAAUACAUCGGAACGUGCCCAGUCGUGGGGGAUAACUACGCGAAAGCGUAGCUAAUACCGCAUACGAACUGAGGUUGAAAGCGGGGGACCGUAAGGCCUCGCGCGAUUGGAGCGGCCGAUGGCAGAUUAGGUAGUUGGUGGGGUAAAGGCCUACCAAGCCGACGAUCUGUAGCUGGUCUGAGAGGACGACCAGCCACACUGGGACUGAGACACGGCCCAGACUCCUACGGGAGGCAGCAGUGGGGAAUUUUGGACAAUGGGCGCAAGCCUGAUCCAGCCAUUCCGCGUGCAGGAUGAAGGCCCUCGGGUUGUAAACUGCUUUUGUACGGAACGAAACGCCUCUGGUUAAUACCUGGGGGUAAUGACGGUACCGUAAGAAUAAGCACCGGCUAACUAACGUGCCAGCAGCCGCGGUAAU
rnacentral:rRNA from 1 species